rnacentral:rRNA from 1 species
AGGGAAUCUUCCACAAUGGACGAAAGUCUGAUGGAGCAACGCCGCGUGAGUGAAGAAGGUUUUCGGAUCGUAAAGCUCUGUUGUUGGUGAAGAAGGAUAGAGGCAGUAACUGGUCUUUAUUUGACGGUAAUCAACCAGAAAGUCACGGCUAACUACGUGCCAGCAGCCGCGGUAAUACGUAGGUGGCAAGCGUUGUCCGGAUUUAUUGGGCGUAAAGCGAGCGCAGGCGGAAUGAUAAGUCUGAUGUGAAAGCCCACGGCUCAACCGUGGAACUGCAUCGGAAACUGUCAUUCUUGAGUGCAGAAGAGGAGAGUGGAACUCCAUGUGUAGCGGUGGAAUGCGUAGAUAUAUGGAAGAACACCAGUGGCGAAGGCGGCUCUCUGGUCUGCAACUGACGCUGAGGCUCGAAAGCAUGGGUAGCGAACAGGAUUAGAUACCCUGGUAGUCCAUGCCGUAAACGAUGAGCGCUAGGUGUUGGGGACUUUCCGGUCCUCAGUGCCGCAGCAAACGCAUUAAGCGCUCCGCCUGGGGAGUACGACCGCAAGGUUGAAAC